rnacentral:rRNA from 1 species
CGGACAGUGUCUGGUGGGUAGUUUGACUGGGGCGGUCUCCUCCUAAAGAGUAACGGAGGAGCACGAAGGUUGGCUAAUCCUGGUCGGACAUCAGGAGGUUAGUGCAAUGGCAUAAGCCAGCUUGACUGCGAGCGUGACGGCGCGAGCAGGUGCGAAAGCAGGUCAUAGUGAUCCGGUGGUUCUGAAUGGAAGGGCCAUCGCUCAACGGAUAAAAGGUACUCCGGGGAUAACAGGCUGAUACCGCCCAAGAGUUCAUAUCGACGGCGGUGUUUGGCACCUCGAUGUCGGCUCAUCACAUCCUGGGGCUGAAGUAGGUCCCAAGGGUAUGGCUGUUCGCCAUUUAAAGUGGUACGCGAGCUGGGUUUAGAACGUCGUGAGACAGUUCGGUCCCUAUCUGCCGUGGGCGCUGGAGAACUGAGGGGGGCUGCUCCUAGUACGAGAGGACCGGAGUGGACGCAUCACUGGUGUUCGGGUUGUCAUGCCAAUGGCACUGCCCGGUAGCUAAAUGCGGAAGAGAUAAGUGCUGAAAGCAUCUAAGCACGAAACUUGCCCCGAGAUGAGUUCUCCCUGACUCCUUGAGAGUCCUGAAGGAACGUUGAAGACGACGACGUUGAUAGGCC